UAGGGAAGGGCUAUAACCCAAAACACUACAAUGUAAGUCUAUGGGAAACCGGUUACUUCCCUUUGACCUAAUAUUUACCACUACUCCACUACCCGGAAGUGCAUUUUUUGACCGAAUUAGUAUCAACUGCGGAAUAAUAGGCUUUUCUUUUCGGAACUGUGAUUAAAUAUUUUAAGUUUACGAAUAUGUCAACGGUUUCUGCAAGUGAGGUAACCGUUCGUCAGCAUAGAAAGGAAGAUAUUACAUUUCUGCAGCAGUUUGUUAAAGAGGAAGGAUGGGACUGGUCUAUGUAUGAGCAUUUGUCGAACACUAGACUCGAUCCAAACUACCUCCUUGUGGCUGAAGACAAAUCUGGCGAGCCUGUUGGAUUUUGCGGGAUAACCAAGAAUGCUCCGGACACGGUAUUCGUAUCUACUUUCAUUGUCCGUAAAGAUCUUCGACGCAGCGGCAUAGGACGAGUACUGUGGAAAGCAAUGUUACAAAGGGCGGGAAAUCAAAAUAUAGCUCUGGACGCAGUAAACGUAAUGGUAGACUGGUACAAGAAGAAUGGGCUCCAUUUUCAAACGUUCAGAACCUUCUGUUGCUUCUUCACUAUUACAGAUGAUAUGAAAAAAAGUUAUUUGUCCAAUUAUGACACCAUCACUCUAUCUGAAGAAAUGUGGCCUGCUUUAAUGGCAUAUGAUCGGUAUACAUAUCCAAACUUUGACCGAACGACGAUACUUCGUGCAUGGUUUUCAGGAGAUGAUGUUCGCGUUGCUGUUGCCAUGGAUGCAGGGAAAAUUGUAGGUUAUGGAAGCAUUCACAAAAAGCCAAACAAUGAAUACGGUCUCCGCAAUGUCUGUGGUGACAACGAAAACGUCAUCGAAGCAUUAUUGCAUGAUAUUGUUUCAGGAUUACCAAAGGGAGCUGUUGUUUAUUUCUUUCUACUAGAUGACAAGCCCUUGCCGACAUACAUCAAACACAGCGUAAAAUAUGAUGAAGCAGUGGUGCGAAUGUAUAGCAAAUUCAAAAUUGAAACCACUGCAAAAAUGUGGCUUGCCGCAGUGUUUUUUGUCUGAAGAUAGUCUAGAUUAUUAGUUUCCUACUGGCUGAAAACCAGUUUCGGGGACUACGAGAUUGCACUUUUCCGUACGUCCGUUAUUCCGUCUGUCAUUUCAUAAGUUCGUUCACACUUUCACUUCCGAUUCAAAACUCAUUAAAGGAUUGUAAUAUUACUUGGCAUAAAUAUUUCCCAAUAUGAGUCGACUUGUCAGCCGCAACACCGAUAUCACUAGAUGAAAGGUCAACUGGGCUUGUUGCUAUAUCUUCUUCUAUUUAAUAUGAUGAAGUAUUUCAUUACAAUUGUUCUCUUAUUUUCCGACGAAUUUAAAAAUGAAAUGUCACUAAAAAGUUACAUUAACAAAGGUUAACAGUAAUUAACAAUUGUGAAUGUUUAGAUAUGCAAACAUAAUUACAAACAUUUUGUGCUGUAUCAUAUUGUCUAUAUAGCACAAUAUUGUAUAUACAUUAAUGGCAGACAUAAGAUCAUUUGAUUAUGCUGAAGUUGAGAUAAUAAGUCACCUUCCACUAGGGGACUUUGUAUUUUACUUCGCUAUGCAUCAUCCCUAUUGUUUCCCAAUAAAAAAAAUAAAAUCAUUUCUAAAACUUAUAGACUCAAAUUUAAUGCAGUGACACUUUGAUACAAAUCCGACAUUGAUAUAAUAUUAGAAAAAAAAACAAGAAACAGUAUUAUAUCAAGCAUAAUGAUUCUAUCAAGCAUAAUAUUUCGUGCCCUCACUGAAUGGAGUUUGCUUCAAAUUCAGUCCAAAAUUAAACUUUAAUAUCGGUCCACUAUUGUUGAUGUCGGAACCAAUAUCUGACCGGUAUAACGUUAAUUUUGCAAAACUGAUGUCGGGCCAAUUGUUAUGUAUAUGUCAUCCCCAUUCAUGUUUAACUUUAUUGAUAAGUCAUUGUUUAUUAAUCUAGUUUUGAGACAUCAUGUAAACAUUUUCUUUUAUAUUCUAUGGUAAUCCAGAGUGGUCUACCACAAUACUGAUAAAUAGUGUGUAUUACUAACAAUUAUUUUUAGAAAGGAUUGUUCUUUGUUUUUCCAGAAUGUUCUUUUUAUUCUUAGUGUUAUAUGGAAGUUCUAGAACCUUCCAUGAUACAAUAAAUAUGAUGCUGUUUGACACCAGGCCAGAAUCUAAAGUUAUAAUAUUAUUGAAAACUUUCCUGUAUUUCUUAAUAACAAAAUAUUACCAGUUUGGAUAUCUAACAUUUGAAGGAUUUACAUUAAAAUUGUAGCUUUAAAAAGUUAUCUUUGAAGAAAGGAUUUAUAUUCUUUGGAUAUACUAAAUCUGGUUUUGAACUGCUGUGAAAUAUUGUGGCAUUUAUAUUGAUUGGGUUUGAAUUUGACCUGGACAUGAUUUGGACUAUUUUUGCACAUAAGAUUUGAUUUUACGGCUUUUGACAUUUUUAAAUGCACUGACACUAUUCUUCAAGAAAAUGUACGUUGCAGAAUUUUAGAAUGGGUCCUGAUGUGUGCUGCGGCAAUUGGAAAUAUGUCAAUUUUAUAUAGAAUAAAGAAGAACAGCUAUUUAGUGUGUUGUAACCUUAUUACUUGAAGAAUUUAUUGUAAUAUGUUUAUUUGAAAUACAGUUUUAAUUUUAGAUAUAUGUCUGUUUGCUUGUAUGGGAACUUGUCCUAAACAGUUUUAAAUAUGGCAUAUUAGAUCACUAAAACUCUUGUAUUCUCACACAAUAACAGCACAAUUGUUGUUAAAGAAAUUGAGUUUCAUUGCACAUGUAUUUCAUUAUUAUCAUUAUUAUUCGCUCUCUUUAAGAAAUUUAAUAUCUAAAUCGAAGAAGUAUGUAACACAUUUUAAUCAAUUUGAAAGAAAAUUAUCAAAUAAAGCUUUUAAUUGCUUAAUCAGAAA
rnacentral:misc_RNA from 1 species